rnacentral:rRNA from 1 species
CGGAAGGUGCAAGCGUUAGUCGGAAUUAUUGGGCGUAAAGGGUGCGUAGGCGGAAACAUAAGUCGGACGUGAAAUUCUGAGGCUUAACUUCAGAGCUGCAUCCGAAACUGCGUUUCUAGAGGAAUGGCGGAGAAGACGGAAUUCCAUGUGUAGCGGUGAAAUGCGUAGAUAUAUGGAAGAACACCUGUGGCGAAAGCGGUCUUCUAGCCUCAUCCUGACGCCGAGGCACGAGAGCAAGGGGAGCAAACAGGAUUAGAUACCCUGGUAGUCCUUGCCGUAAACUAUGUGUACUUGAUGUAGUUGGGCUCAACCCCGACUGUGUCGUAGCGAACGCGAUAAGUACACCGCCUGGGGAGUACACUCGCAAGGGUG